CUGCACAACGUAUUAAUAGUAUAGUGAUUCAAUAGUUAAGUACAAUGGCCAAAAAAAGUAAAAUUUGUUCAAAAUGUGGGCAAGGUCCUUCCACUUUGUAUGACCCUGACUGUGAGAAGUGUCAGCUUAAAGAAGCUACAUUAUUUCUCGCAUCAAGAAUAGGCUCCACAUCUGAAGGAAUGGAUGAAAAUCUAUUGCUUCUGAAAACUCUAAUGAACAAAAUAAAAAGUAUUGAUGGUGUAACAAUUACACCAUCUACCCUAACUCCCAUAAAAAAUAAAAGUGUGAUUUCACAGUCAAAAUCACCACGUGAAGAACCUCAGGGUUUUUAUUACGAAUCUGAAGAUGGAGAUUGUAGUGAGGGUGAGAAAAGUUGUUUAGAUCUUGUGGAAAAUGAAGUUGUUUGUCCGACUCCUGUGCAGGAGAAGAAAAAGAUUUCAUCUCAAACAUUCCCUGAAAAUGAAAAAUUCAUGAAUGAAAAUUUCAUGAAUUCAUGAAAAAUGAAAACAUUCCCUGAAAAUGAAAAAAAUCAAACCCUGAAAAUGAAAGCGAUCAAGAGGAGGUAAAGAGUUCACGAAGUUCGUGUUAAAGUAAAUCAGAUGAAGAAAAUUGGGUUAAUGAGGAAGGCGAACACGAUUUUAAUGAAGAUGAAAGACAUGGAAAGGAAAAAAGCAGUUCGGAAUGAAAAACCUGACAGAGUUUUCAGAUGAAAAUGAACAAAUAAAUGAAGAGAUCGAUCAGGAAUUUCAAAAUAGUAAAGAACUGCAAAAUAUAAAAGGUGCACGUACUGUUUUCAAUUCGCUUUAAUCGGGACCACCGAACUUUUAUCCGGAUGAGACAUUCAAGUCUUCUUUUCGCAAAUAAAAUAGCAAAAAAGGUUGUUUCAAAGCGG